UACGUAGGGGGGCAAGCGUUGUCCGGAAUUAUUGGGCGUAAAGAGCUCGUAGGCGGCUUGUCGCGUCGAAUGUGAAAGCCCCACGGCUCAACUGUGGGGCUUGCAUUCGAUACGGGGCAGGCUAGAGUUCGGUAGGGGGAGACUGGAAUUCCUGGUGUAGCGGUGAAAAUGCGCAGAUAUCAGGAGGAAACACCGGGUGGCGAAGGCGCUU
rnacentral:rRNA from 1 species